rnacentral:rRNA from 1 species
AUUGAACGCUGGCGGCAUGCCUUACACAUGCAAGUCGAACGGUAACAGGUCUUCGGAUGCUGACGAGUGGCGAACGGGUGAGUAAUACAUCGGAACGUGCCUAGUAGUGGGGGAUAACUACUCGAAAGAGUGGCUAAUACCGCAUGAGAUCUACGGAUGAAAGCAGGGGAUCGCAAGACCUUGUGCUACUAGAGCGGCCGAUGGCAGAUUAGGUAGUUGGUGGGAUAAAAGCUUACCAAGCCGACGAUCUGUAGCUGGUCUGAGAGGACGAUCAGCCACACUGGGACUUAGACACGGCCCAGGCUCCUACGGGAGGCAGCAGUGGGGAAUUUUGGACAAUGGGCGCAAGCCUGAUCCAGCAAUGCCGCGUGCAGGAUGAAGGCCUUCGGUUUGUAAACUGCUUUUGUACGGAACGAAAAGCCCUGGGUUAAUACCCUGGGGUCAUGACGGUACCGUAAGAAUAAGCACCGGCUAACUACGUGCCAGCCGCCGCAGUAA